GAUGAACGCUGGCGGCGUGCCUAAUACAUGCAAGUCGAGCGAACAGACGAGGAGCUUGCUCCUCUGACGUUAGCGGCGGACGGGUGAGUAACACGUGGAUAACCUCCCUAUAAGACUGGGAUAACUUCGGGAAACCGGAGCUAAUACCGGAUAAUAUCUUGAACCGCAUGGUUCAAUAGUGAAAGACGGUUUUGCUGUCACUUAUAGAUGGAUCCGCGCCGCAUUAGCUAGUUGGUAAGGUAACGGCUUACCAAGGCAACGAUGCGUAGCCGACCUGAGAGGGUGAUCGGCCACACUGGAACUGAGACACGGUCCAGACUCCUACGGGAGGCAGCAGUAGGGAAUCUUCCGCAAUGGGCGAAAGCCUGACGGAGCAACGCCGCGUGAGUGAUGAAGGUCUUCGGAUCGUAAAACUCUGUUAUUAGGGAAGAACAAAUGUGUAAGGAACUAUGCACGUCUUGACGGUACCUAAUCAGAAAGCCACGGCUAACUACGUG
rnacentral:rRNA from 1 species